AAUCGAGAGCUCCAAGUGGGC
rnacentral:snRNA from 1 species